rnacentral:tRNA from 1 species
UGGGGAUAUGGCGGAAUGGUAGACGCAGCGGACUCAAAAUCCGUUGGUUUCGACCGUGAGGGUUCGAGUCCCUCUAUCCCCAAC